rnacentral:rRNA from 1 species
UACGUAGGGUGCAAGCGUUGUCCGGAAUCAUUGGGCGUAAAGCGCGCGUAGGUGGCUUCGUAAGUCCGUUGUGAAAGUCAAAGGCUCAACCUUUGAAAGCCGAUGGAUACUGCGGAGCUAGAGUACGGAAGAGGCGGGUGGAAUUCCUGGUGUAGCGGUGGAAUGCGCAGAUAUCAGGAGGAACACCGGUGGCGAAGGCGGUCUGCUGGGCAGUUGCUGACACUGAGGCGCGACAGCGUGGGGAGCAAACAGG